UGUCCUACGGGACGCAGCAGUGAGGAAUAUUGGUCAAUGGCCGAGAGGCUGAACCAGCCAAGUCGCGUGAGGGAUGACGGCCCUACGGGUUGUAAACCUCUUUUGUCGGGGAGCAAGACCCGCCUCGUGCAGGCGGAGCGAGAGUACCCGAAGAAAAAGCAUCGGCUAACUCCGUGCCAGCAGCCGCGGUAAUACGGAGGAUACGAGCGUUAUCCGGAUUUAUUGGGUUUAAAGGGAGCGUAGAUGGGUUGUUAAGUCAGUUGUGAAAGUUUGCGGCUCAACCGUAAAAUUGCAAUUGAUACUGG
rnacentral:rRNA from 1 species